rnacentral:rRNA from 1 species
CAGCCGCCGCGGUAAUACGGAGGGGGCUAGCGUUGUUCGGAAUUACUGGGCGUAAAGCGCACGUAGGCGGCUUGGUAAGUUAGAGGUGAAAGCCUGGAGCUCAACUCCAGAAUUGCCUUUAAGACUGCCGAGCUAGCAGGUGAGAGAGGUAAGUGGAAUUCCGAGUGUAGAGGUGAAAUUCGUAGAUAUUCGGAAGAACACCAGUGGCGAAGGCGGCUUACUGGCUCAUACUGGACGCUGAGGUGCGAAAGCGUGGGGAGCAAACAGGAUUAGAUACCCGUGUAGUCCCUGUCUCUUAUAC